UUCAACGGGCGGGCCGCGGCGAGGGAGCCGCAAGGCUCACCGGUUUGGGCUGGGCACCGGUCUCUCAACCUCGCUACGUGCCCGCCCACCCGU
rnacentral:antisense_RNA from 1 species